rnacentral:tRNA from 1 species
GAGGGUGUAGCUCAGUGUUAGAGCAUGUGCUUAGCAAGUGUGAGGUCCUGGGUUCAAUCCCCAGUACCACCA